GAUGAACGCUGGCGGCGUGCCUAAUACAUGCAAGUCGAGCGAACAGACGAGGAGCUUGCUCCUCUGACGUUAGCGGCGGACGGGUGAGUAACACGUGGAUAACCUACCUAUAAUACUGGGAUAACUUCGGGAAACCGGAGCUAAUACCGGAUAAUAUAUUGAACCGCAUGGUUCAAUAGUGUAAGACGGUUUUGCUGUCACUUAUAGAUGGAUCCGCGCCGCAUUAGCUAGUUGGUAAGGUAACGGCUUACCAAGGCAACGAUGCGUAGCCGACCUGAGAGGGUGAUCGGACACACCGGAACUGAGACACGGUCCAGACUACUACGGGAGGCAGCAGUAGGGAAUAUUCCGCAAUGGGCGAAAGCAUGACGGAGCAACGCCGCGUGAGUGAUGAAGGUCUUCGGAUCGUAAAACUCUGUUAUUAGGGAAGAACAAAUGUGUAAGUAACUAUGCACGUCUUGACGGUACCUAAUCAGAAAGCAACGGCUAACUACGUG
rnacentral:rRNA from 1 species